rnacentral:rRNA from 1 species
GCAACUCGACUCCAUGAAGUUGGAUUCGCUAGUAAUCGCGCAUCAGCCAUGGCGCGGUGAAUACGUUCCCGGGCCUUGUACACACCGCCCGUCAAGCCAUGGGAGUCGGGAGUGCCUGAAGUUCGUGACCGUAUAGGAGCGACCUAGGGCAAGACUGAUNACUGGGGCUAAGUCGUAACAAGGUAUC